rnacentral:rRNA from 1 species
AUGAACGCUGGCGGCGUGCCUAAUACAUGCAAGUCGCGCGAACGGACGAGAAGCUUGCUUCUCUGAUGUUAGCGGCGGACGGGUGAGUAACACGUGGAUAACCUACCUAUAAGACUGGGAUAACUUCGGGAAACCGUAGCUAAUACCGGAUAAUAUUUUGAACCGCAUGGUUCAAAAGUGAAAGACGGUCUUGCUGUCACUUAUAGAUGGAUCCGCGCUGCAUUAGCUAGUUGGUAAGGUAACGGCUUACCAAGGCAACGAUGCAUAGCCGACCUGAGAGGGUGAUCGGCCACACUGGAACUGAGACACGGUCCAGACUCCUACGGGAGGCGGCAGUAGGGAAUCUUCCGCAAUGGGCGAAAGCCUGACGGAGCAACGCCGCGUGAGUGAUGAAGGUCUUCGGAUCGUAAAACUCUGUUAUUAGGGAAGAACAUAUGUGUAAGUAACUGUGCACAUCUUGACGGUACCUAAUCAGAAAGCCACGGCUAACUACGUG